GCCAACGGCCAUACCACGUUGAACACACCGAUUCUCGUCCGAGCACCGAAGUUAAGCAACGUCGGGCGUGGUUAGUACUUGGAUGGGUGACCGCCUGGGAAAACCGCGUGCUGUUGGCAUUU
rnacentral:rRNA from 1 species